rnacentral:misc_RNA from 1 species
AAAAAAAAAAUCUAGCUAAACAUAAAUUGCACAAGAAAGGGCUCUCAAGUCCAACCCACAAACAGAAACCCCAAUAGAGAAAGAUCCAAGCCCGAACACACGAUCAGGAGGAAGGAAACACCGCACCACAAAUCGCACGGGCAAGGGCUCAAAUCACCACAAACAACCAAUAAGUUCAUCCUAUUGAAACACCAAUGGGAUCAACUUCAACUAAAACGCCUAGUGAAAAAGGCCCCAAGAACAACACCACAAGGGAACAGACAAUCGAGCUAGGGAAGACAAAAAUAACUCUGAAGCGUUGGACUAUGGAAGUCGAAACCAGAGAAACGAAAGGCAGAGAGGGAGAGGCACAAACUUCCCUAGAGGGAGACAAGCUGAAUGGAGCACUGCAAGGGACCAAGACUCGGCAAAAUGCCUGAAAGAUAGAGUCCCAAGCAAAAUAAACCCAAGCUCAGAGAAGGAGCAACAUAACAGACCAUGCAGUAAACAAAAGCACUGACGCCACGUUUACUAAAAACAAAGGAGGGUAUUAGUGCUCUAGCCAUCCCACUCUGCAGGCUUUAAGGGAGCGAAAGCCACAAGAACGGCAUUGUGAGCGUCCCUACGAUA